AAAAUAUAAAAGUCGAACAGACUAAAAUUUAAAACAUCUUCAUUUUAAAUUAAUUUUAAUCCAACAUCGAGGUCGCAAUCAUUAUUUAUAAUAAGUACUAAUAAAAAAUAUAACG
rnacentral:rRNA from 1 species